CCUACGGGUGGCAGCAGUGGGGAAUAUUGCGCAAUGGGCGAAAGCCUGACGCAGCGACGCCGCGUGAGGGAUGAAGGUCUUCGGAUCGUAAACCUCUGUCAGCAGGGAAGAACGGUCACUGUGCUAAUCAGCAGUGAAUUGACGGUACCUGCAAAGGAAGCACCGGCUAACUCCGUGCCAGCAGCCGCGGGAAUACGGAGGGUGCGAGCGUUAAUCGGAAUUACUGGGCGUAAAGCUCUCGUAGGCGGUAUGUCAAGUCAAGGGUGAAAUCCCCGGGCUCAACGUGGGAACUGCCGUUGAAACUGGCAAACUGGAGUGUGUGAGAGGAUAGUGGAAUUCCAGGUGUAGGAGUGAAAUCCGUAGAUAUCUGGAGGAACAUCAGUGGCGAAGGCGACUAUCUGGAACAUAACUGACGCUGAGGAGCGAAAGCGUGGGUAGCAAACAGGAUUAGAUACCCGAGUAGUC
rnacentral:rRNA from 1 species